UUGAAGUUGUGGAUAACAACACUAAUUGUUGGUAGAAAUGAAUCACCACUGUAGUAUGGGUUCAUGAUAUCAAAAAAUUUGGCUCUGAAGUUAGCAAUGAUUAAAAUCCAUUGUUUUUCCUUGAAUACGGGCAUUUUUACCUAGGGAAUUGUGCAAAGUUACAAUCUAUUAGUGUAACUCUUUAAAGAAGGAAAAACUAUAAGAGUAGUUUGUACAAAAGAACUUGUCUUACCAAGGAAGCAUUCAAUAAAUUGAAGCCAACAUUACUUUCCUGUAAGAUUAGUUGGUUUGCAGGAUCUAAAUGAUUUAGCAUUGGGUUCAUU
rnacentral:lncRNA from 1 species